GACGAACGCUGGCGGCGUGCCUAAUACAUGCAAGUAGAACGCUGAAGCGAGGAGCUUACUCUUCUUGGAUGAGUUGCGAACGGGUGAGUAACGCGUAGGUAACCUGCCUUGUAGCGGGGGAUAACUAUUGGAAACGAUAGCUAAUACCACAUAACAAUGGAUGACACAUGUCAUUUAUUUGAAAGGGGCAAUUGCUCCACUACAAGAUGGACCUGCGUUGUAUUAGCUAGUAGGUGAGGUAAUGGCUCACCUAGGCGACGAUACAUAGCCGACCUGAGAGGGUGAUCGGCCAAACUGGGACUGAGACACGGCCCAGACGCCUACGGGAGGCAGCAGUAGGGAAUCUUCGGCAAUGGGGGCAACCCUGACCGAGCAACGCCGCGUGAGUGAAGAAGGGUUUCGGAUCGUAAAGCUCUGUUGUAAGUGAAGAACGGGUGUGAGAGUGGAAAGUUCACACUGUGACGGUAGCUUACCAGAAAGUGACGGCUAACUACGUG
rnacentral:rRNA from 1 species